UCCUGGUUAACCCAGGCAGUCUCACUAGAGUUCCCACCUUUACGUGCUGGCAACUAGUAAUAAGGGUUGCGCUCGUUGCUGGACUUAACCAAACACCUCACGGCACGAGCUGACGACAGCCAUGCAGCACCUGUGCAGCGGCUCCGAAGAGAAAUACUAUUUCUAGUAUCGUCCACUGCAUGUCAAGUCUGGGUAAGGUUCUUCGCGUUGCAUCGAAUUAAACCACAUGCUCCACUGCUUGUGCGGGUCCCCGUCAAUUCUUUUGAGUUUCACCCUUGCGAGUGUACUCCUCAGGCGGUAUACUUAUCGCGUUAGCUACGGCACAAUCAGGGUUGAGUCCGAUUACACCAAGUAUACAUCGUUUACAGCAAGGACUAC
rnacentral:misc_RNA from 1 species